UGGUGGGCCUAGGCGGGGGGCUAGGGGUCCCCUGAGAGCCUCCAUGGGAGGCUCGACCGCAAAACCCCUCCAUGGCGGGCCGAAAGCUGAGGUGAGGCGCACCCAGCCCGGCUGGAAGCCUGGCGGAAGGCUCGAGGAAGGCUCGGCCCCCAGGGCCGGCGGAGCGGCCUGCCCACCCGUAGGGGUGGGGGUGCCGUACUGCCGGGUGAACCUGGCCAGGCCCGGGAGGGAGCAACCUAAGCCCGGACGUUCGGCGCUUGGGGGAGCACCGGGCCGGAGGGAGGCUGCCAGGCUUAAGCCGGGUAUGGGCGUCGAGCCUCAGGGCCCACCA
rnacentral:SRP_RNA from 1 species